AUCAUGUGGUGAAGAUAUUGUCUAAGAAACUCCUUGAAUAUUUCCCAUGCAUCAGACAAAGACUCACCAUCUCCUUGUCAGAAUGAAGUGAUUUCAUUUCUCAUCUU